rnacentral:tRNA from 1 species
CCUUCGAUAGCUCAGUUGGUAGAGCGGAGGACUGUAGAUCCUUAGGUCGCUGCUUCGACUCCGGCUCGAAGGA